CAGCGAAAAGGGCAAACUCACCGAAAGGUGGGGGCGCAAAGCCAUAGGGUCUAAGGUGCUUUUGCACUAUGACAGCCUGGUUGCCGCU
rnacentral:ncRNA from 1 species